GCAAAUGCGUUGACAGGGAUAAAACGAUCUUUCUUCUGCGUGCAGAGAGCCGCCGGGUGGUGCAAGGCGGGUGCAGAGAACUUCGGAUACUGGCCCCCGAGCGGCAGAACUGAACGGACAAGUAGGUUCUGACGGAUGCCCACCGUUACAAGGGCAGCGAUUCGCUGUUUUGGCCGAUCGUGCAAAGUGGCUGUACCUGACCGUGCAGCAAGGAGAGUGGUACCACGGGUGCCCUGUAAAAGCAAUUUACAGGCUCUCGUCUCUCAA
rnacentral:ncRNA from 1 species